CAAACUGCGGUGAAUACGUUCCCGGGUCUUGUACACACCGCCCCGUCAAACCAUGAAAGUGACCAACACCCGAAGUCCGAUUCGUCGGCCUAAGGUGGGGGGCAUGAUUGGGGGUUUAAGUCGUAAACAAGGUACCC
rnacentral:rRNA from 1 species